UCGAGCGAGCUGAAUUCAAAGAUUCCUUUGGGAUGAUUUGUUGGACGCUAGCGGCGGAUGGGUGAGUAACACGUGGGCAAUCUGCCCUAAAGACUGGGAUACCACUUGGAAACAGGUGCUAAUACCGGAUAACAACAUGAAUCGCAUGAUUCAAGUUUGAAAGGCGGCGCAAGCUGUCACUUUAGGAUGAGCCCGCGGCGCAUUAGCUAGUUGGUGGGGUAAAGGCCUACCAAGGCAAUGAUGCGUAGCCGAGUUGAGAGACUGAUCGGCCACAUUGGGACUGAGACACGGCCCAAACUCCUACGGGAGGCAGCAGUAGGGAAUCUUCCACAAUGGACGCAAGUCUGAUGGAGCAACGCCGCGUGAGUGAAGAAGGUCUUCGGAUCGUAAAGCUCUGUUGUUGGUGAAGAAGGAUAGAGGCAGUAACUGGUCUUUA
rnacentral:rRNA from 1 species